CUGUAGACACGAGUUUGACUCCGUGGCUACAGGACGAACGCUGGCGGCGCGCCUAACACAUGCAAGUCGAACGAGAGAUGAAGAGCUUGCUCUUCAAAUCGAGUGGCGAACGGGUGAGUAACGCGUGAGGAACCUGCCUCAAAGAGGGGGACAACAGUUGGAAACGACUGCUAAUACCGCAUAAGCCCACGGCUCGGCAUCGAGCAGAGGGAAAAGGAGCGAUCCGCUUUGAGAUGGCCUCGCGUCCGAUUAGCUAGUUGGUGAGGUAACGGCCCACCAAGGCGACGAUCGGUAGCCGGACUGAGAGGUUGAACGGCCACAUUGGGACUGAGACACGGCCCAGACUCCUACGGGAGGCAGCAGUGGGGAAUAUUGCACAAUGGGGGAAACCCUGAUGCAGCGACGCCGCGUGGAGGAAGAAGGUUUUCGGAUCGUAAACUCCUGUCCUUGGAGACGAGUAGAAGACGGUAUCCAAGGAGGAAGCCCCGGCUAACUACGUG
rnacentral:rRNA from 1 species